rnacentral:rRNA from 1 species
CCAAGGAGUCUAGCAUGUGCGCGAGUCAGUGGGCUCGACGAAACCCAGAGGCGAAGCGAAAGCGAAGAGCGGAACCGUCUCGCACGGGACCGCUUCAGGCGGGAUCUGCCUGCCGCCGGACGGCAAAAAAAAAGCCCGGACCGGAUCGGGGCAGCGCACCGUCGGCCCGCCUCAACGCUCGUUAGUUCGCGUCCGCGUCGAGCGCGAGUUCGACCGGGGGCGAUCGGCGAGGCGGAGCCAGAGCGCACACGCUGGGACCCGAAAGAUGGUGAACUAUGCCCGAGCAGGACGAAGCCAGAGGAAACUCUGGUGGAGGUCCGUAGCGGUUCUGACGUGCAAAUCGAUCGUCUGACUCGGGUAUAGGGGCGAAAGACUAAUCGAACCAUCUA